GGGUGAUCUGGCUGCAAUAUCUAAUAUUUUAUGUUAAUGACUGAUUUCAGUGACCUUUGGUCUGAAUAGACACCACUUGCCUUCUUCAAAAUCCCAUAUACAUCCUUUCUGGAGCUGUGCACUAGUGGAAGGGAAUAAGUCCCUCAUAUGGUUGGACCCUUUCAAAGUCAUGGAAACAUGGAGUAGCUGCCUUCUCCUACUAGAGCCUCCACAAGCUCUUGAGAAGACAGUAAGGGCCAGGGAGAUGGUUCAGGAGUGAGAAUACUUUCUGAGUUCAUCUGAAGAUAUGAGAUUGGAUCUCU
rnacentral:snRNA from 1 species